rnacentral:tRNA from 1 species
GCUGGCGUAGCUCAGUUGGUAGAGCAACUGAUUUGUAAUCAGUAGGUCGCUGGUUCAAAUCCAGUCGCCAGCUCCA